rnacentral:sRNA from 1 species
AGCUUCCUCUUCCGAGGAAAGGCGGGGCCUGGGCGCCCGCGGGAAACCCGGGCCCCUUGCAUCCGCUGGGUGUAGCCGUGGGGAUGGCAGGUUCGGGGAGGCUGGUCCUACGGCCCUGGAUUCGGGAGCUGAUUCUGGGGUCAGAGACACUCUCCAGUCCACGAGCCGGGCAGCUGCUCGAGGUGAGCCCCCAUUCAGGGCCCGGAGACCGAGGCGGAGGCCCGGGGUGGUGGGAUUGACGCCGCUCGCCGCCGUCAGGUACUACAGGAGGCCGAGGCCGCGGUCGCGGGCCCAUCCCACGCCCCUGAUACGUCCGACGUCGGGGCCACGCUGCUUGUGUCUGACGGGACCCACAGUGUCCGAUGCCUGGUGACGCGGGAGGCCCUGGACACCUCGGACUGGGAGGAGAAGGAGUUCGGCUUCCGCGGGACAGAGGGCCGGCUGCUGCUGCUGCAGGACUGCGGGGUUCAUGUCCAGGUCGCUGAGGGCGGCGCGGUGAGUGGUGAGACUGUCUUGGGCGGGUUACCGGGCAUGACUCUUCGUGACGAUUCUGAGACCUCCCCUUCCCCACGAACUCCU